UUGCUUCACCCUGAUUCCUAACGUCAAUUCUAUGGUAGCAUUGAUGGCCCAAACGGAAGUAGUAAGCACGAGGGACAGCCAGCCAAAGGCGAUGACUAUAAGAUUGUUCCGCCCUUUCACAUGCCAUCGAUCUGCCAUAAUUUCUCAAGAAUUCAAGUCAAUUGGACAUUGAAGCUGAUUCUUAGCAGAGCUAGCUGGCUGAGUUGCUUCACUUUGGAAGGACAAAGAGGGCACCUUCCAGUCAUCACAUGGCAACAUGGCUGGUCCCUUUGACUCAAUGUCCACGAUAAUGGAUGCACAGCUUCAAGCUAAUGGCAUGAUCAUAAUGAUCAAGAAGGCAUGAAGUUCAUUUAUUUGAGUGGUAAGAGAAGGAUUCAUGUGAGUGGACAGAUCGUGGGGUUGUGCCUUUCCGGCUAGAUCAGGAUGUCAAGACCGGCAACCACGCCAUCUCUACACCAUCCCCAGGUAUACUGGCUCCUUACCAGCACAUUUUUGCUAUCCUAUUGUGGUCUAUGAUAAAUCAAUAUUGUGACUUAGGAUGCACACUGAUAUAUGUUGUGAUCCCUAAUUUCACUAAUUGUGCUUUUACGAAUUUAUUUUUAUGGUUUAGGGUGCACGCCCACAACUCACCUUGGAUUAUUAAGGCGUGUUUCCCUCUCCAAUGCAUUCCUCUUUAUGCUUUAUGAGAUUUCAUAAUUAAUUUUGUGUUCAUGUUUAUGUUAUACUAAUGGCACGCCAUUUAUCCUGCUAAUGA